ACACGCGUAGUUUAAAAAAACAUUUGCCCUCCAAUCAAAAAUUAUAAAUAGCCUCUAUCGCCUGUA
rnacentral:tRNA from 1 species